rnacentral:rRNA from 1 species
AGUGAACGCUGGCGGCGUGCUUAACACAUGCAAGUCGAACGAGAACGGGUUAUAGCUUGCUAUAAUUGUCAGCUAAGUGGCGCACGGGUGAGUAAUGUAUAGGUAAUAUGCCUCUUACUAAGGGAUAACAAAUGGAAACGUUUGCUAAUACCUUAUACUCCUUAUUAACAGAAGUUAAUAAGGGACAGAUUUAUUGGUAAGAGAUUAGCCUGUAUUGUAUCAGUUAGUUGGUGGGGUAAUGGCCUACCAAGACUAUGACACAUAACUGGUUUGAGAGGAUGAUCAGUCACACUGGAACUGAGACACGGUCCAGACUCCUACGGGAGGCAGCAGUGGGGAAUAUUGCACAAUGGACGAAAGUCUGAUGCAGCAACGCCGCGUGGAGGAUGACACAUUUCGGUGCGUAAACUCCUUUUAUAUGAGAAGAUAAUGACGGUAUUAUAUGAAGAAGCCCCGGCUAACUUCGUGCCAGCAGCCGCGGUAA